UACGGAGGGUGCAAGCGUUGUCCGGAUUUAUUGGGCGUAAAGGGCUCGUAGGCGGUUUGUCGCGUCGGCUGUGAAAACUCGGGGCUCAACUCCGAGCUUGCAGUCGAUACGGGCAGGCUAGAGUUCGGCAGGGGAGACUGGAAUUCCUGGUGUAGCGGUGAAAUGCGCAGAUAUCAGGAGGAACACCGGUGGCGAAGGCGGGUCUCUGGGCCGAUACUGACACUGAGGAGCGAAAGCGUGGGGAGCGAACAGG
rnacentral:rRNA from 1 species